GAUGAACGCUGGCGGCGUGCCUAAUACAUGCAAGUCGAGCGGACGGACGAGAAUCUUGCUUCUUUGAUGUUAGCGGCGGACGGGUGAGUAACACGUGGAUAACCUACCUAUAAGACUGGUAUAACUUCGGGAAACCGGAGCUAAUCCCGUAUAAUAUUUUGAACCGCAGUGUUCAAUAGUGAAAUACGGUCUUGCUGUCACUUAUAGAUGGAUCCGCGCUUCAUUAGCUAGUUGGUAAGGUAACGGCUUACCAAGGCAACGAUGCAUAGCCGACGUGAGAGGGGGGUAGGCCACACUGGAGCUGAGACACGGUCCAGAGUCCUACGGGAGGCAGCAGUAGGGAAUCUUCCGCAAUGGGCGAAAGCAUGACGGAGCAACGGCGAGUGAGUGAUGAAGGUCUUCGGAUCGUAAAACUGUGUUACGAGGGAAGAACAUAUGUGUAAGUAAACGUGCACAGCUUGACGGUAACUAAUCAGAAAGCAACGGCUAACUACGUG
rnacentral:rRNA from 1 species